GCACUCCCCUUAAUAACGACGGACUUCACCUUUGGGUGACAACAAACAAAUGAUUAAGGCAUUGCCAUUUAUUUUGUGGAAUCUUACCGUGUUUUUAU
rnacentral:ncRNA from 1 species